AGCACUAGAUCUUGCAACAGAGAAAGUGCAAAGUGAUGUGGGCUUUUAAGACUAAUAACCUUUCUCAUGUCCUCUGUCUCUUUCUCCCCAGCUAGAGGAAAAGCCCUAAGAGAUCCUAGCCUGGAGAAUCAUGGAGCCAUGUCGUUAGGAGUUUGAGAUCAUUAUCACAGUCCUGACAUUCCUGACAUUGGAUGACUGAGACUACCCAACUAUGACACGCAAGCAGUGUGUAAGACGAGAACAGGUGCCUGCAGACCUGAUAUCGUUUCAGUGUCUUCAGAACUUUAUAAAACCUUUUUUUGAAAACU
rnacentral:lncRNA from 1 species